rnacentral:tRNA from 1 species
GGGGGUGUGGUUUAGUUGGUAUAGUGCUUGCCUAGCAUGCAUGAAGCUGUGAGUUCAAGCCCAGCACCA